GAUGAACGCUAGCUACAGGCUUAACACAUGCAAGUCGAGGGGAAACGGCAUUAAGUGCUUGCACUUUUUGGACGUCGACCGGCGCACGGGUGAGUAACGCGUAUCCAACCUUCCCAUGACUAAGGGAUAACCUGCCGAAAGGCAGACUAAUACCUUAUGGUCUUCACUGACGGCAUCAGAUGUGAAGUAAAGAUUUAUCGGUUAUGGAUGGGGAUGCGUCUGAUUAGCUUGUUGGCGGGGUAACGGCCCACCAAGGCAACGAUCAGUAGGGGUUCUGAGAGGAAGGUCCCCCACAUUGGAACUGAGACACGGUCCAAACUCCUACGGGAGGCAGCAGUGAGGAAUAUUGGUCAAUGGGCGAGAGCCUGAACCAGCCAAGUAGCGUGCAGGAUGACGGCCCUAUGGGUUGUAAACUGCUUUUGUAUGGGGAUAAAGUCAAUCACGUGUGAUUGUUUGCAGGUUCCAUACGAAUAAGGACCGGCUAAUUCCGUGCCAGCAGCCGCGGUAAUACGGAAGGUCCGGGCGUUAUCCGGAUUUAUUGGGUUUAAAGGGAGCGUAGGCUGGAGAUUAAGUGUGUUGUGAAAUGUAGACGCUCAACGUCUGACUUGCAGCGCAUACUGGUUUCCUUGAGUACGCACAACGUUGGCGGAAUUCGUCGUGUAGCGGUGAAAUGCUUAGAUAUGACGAAGAACUCCGAUUGCGAAGGCAGCUGACGGGAGCGCAACUGACGCUGAAGCUCGAAGGUGCGGGUAUCGAACAGG
rnacentral:rRNA from 1 species